rnacentral:lncRNA from 13 species
CUUUUUUCCAUGUAAAAAGAAGCUAUCAUCUUCUGGGAAGAAAAAAGGCUGAGAAAUUCCGUGAUCUGCCAUCUGCAAGCUGGAUAAUAAGAUAAGCUGGUGGUGUAAUUUAGUCUACACUGGAAUGCCUGAGAAUCAGGAGUUAACAGUUUAAGUCUUCUUCAGAGUCCACAGGCUGGAGAACCAGAAGCUUUGGUACCCCAAGACAGGAGCAGGGAAGCUAUCCUGAAGAGGUCAACACCUCCACUGAUGUCCAGCUGCCUUCUGACUAGUUUUGUUGUGACCGUCUUGCAC